UUUUUUUUAUGUUUUGAGUUAAAUAAUUAAAGAAGUUACUCUGUUUAUGCGAAAACAAACAUGAGAUAUAAUACAAUUCUGAUCCAGGUUCUCUUGCUGAGUGAAGAACUUUCUGGUGUCGUAUUUGGAGAGACUCACACAAUCACAGAGGGACAAGACUUCACAGCACAAUGUUGGUUUUAUGGAUCUGGAGGUAAAAGACUCGUCUGUAAAAAUGACUGUUAUAAAAAAAGAAACAUUUUGGUGGAGACUACAGGAGUCAGAGCUGAGAAAGACAGAUACACUCUUCAAUAUGAUGAACAGACAAGAGAGUGAGAAUCAAGAAGGUGCAGCUGUCUGACUCUGGACAAUACCAGUGCAAGUUGGAAAGGAUUCGUUGGUCUGGUCACGUGUGGGUUGAUGGUUACGAUACAUUUCAGAUUACUGUUCUCAAAGUUUGAACCACAGACUGUUUCAGAAGAACCCACACUCUCGCCCUGAUGCUCUGGUGAAUGUUACAUCCUGUGUAUUUGUGUUUCAUUUUUAUUUACCACUUUUAUCAUCCAAACAUGUUUUUAAGCCAGAUGCCCUUCCCUGAUCUUCUCCUGACACCACUGAUCUGAGACAUUUGGUGUGUUUCUGGACCAUGAGUCAGUGACACAAAUGUGACAGGAGCAGUUUUGAUACAUUUGUAUGCUCCAAAUGCAUCAAUUUUGUUUUGUUGUUUUGUUUGUUCCCAUCAUGAAUCAUCAUCAUCAUGCCCUUCUCUGACCUUCUUAAUCUAAAUACAUUUUUUGUUUGUUUGUUUGUUUUGUUUAUGAUCAUGCAUCACCACUGAAGAAACACCAGGACAUGAGAGCACGUAUGAGGCAAUGUAAACAAACUUAUUUCAACCUGGAGAGACUCAGACAGACACAAAGAGAAGUGUUAGUAUAAACUUUAUUGAAUGAGUUAUCUUUGGCGCUCAGACUCCAGCAGAAGACAUUACGAUGGAGGAUGUGGUCGAUUAGAUGAUGUUUAGGAGAUGUCUUCCCCCCGGGGUCUGGACCCUGGAGGUGGUGGAGGUGAAGUCGAGGAGAGUGAAGGAGACGAUGAGAGGAUGAGAAGACAAGGGGGCGAUGGGGACGAGGUUUAAAAUGGACAUAAUCAUUAUUAACUGCCGCAUGACUUGAUAUUAUUUCAUAUUAUAAUUAUUAUUAUAAAAGUUUGUGGUUAUUCCCAAAUACUCAUUAUAUAUCGUUUAGAACAGACACACAAUUGCAUUGCUUUUUUAUAAUG